CUCAGCACACACUGUCAACAUGCUGGGGACCCUCUGCACUCUCAUCACUGCUCUAACAUGUGUGAGUGGUGUGACCGUGGUGACACAGAAGCCUCCUGUUGUCACGGUGAGGAAAGGAGAGACAGCCACCAUGGACUGUGACGUUUUCACAGAUGAUGGAUCUCGCUGGUACAAACAGAGUCCUGGAGGAGCUUUUCAGUUUGUGCUGAGGAAUCAUUACAGCUACUCCUCUCCACAUUAUGGCUCUGGUUUCUCCUCUCCCAAAUUCACUUCUAGUCAUCUGUCAGGGACACAGUAUCGAUUGACCAUCAGUAAUGUGGAGGAGGGAGACUCAGCAGUCUAUCACUGUGAAACAUGGGAUGACUCUGCUAGACUGCACGUAUCACAUGUCUUUAUAAGCUUCACUGGACAGUAA